rnacentral:misc_RNA from 1 species
GCCAGGAGUUCGGAUGCACUUGAGGGAUGCAAACUUAGUGGUACUUCAGGAUGUCCUUGUGAAAUUGCUCCAGAGGAAACUGCAGCCCUACCUUUAAUUGUUUUUCGUACACUAUAAUCAGCUCUCCCUCCUUGAAGAAGUGAUCGGCUAAAGAUCCCCAUGACUCCGAAUAAGCUCGAAUGAGUCCGUCGGAAGAUUGAACUCCUGCCUUAUUAGUUCAAGAUCGGACAUCCCAAGGAAUGAGGGGAGCUCGUCCACGAGUAGAGGCUCCCUCCUCACAACCGGAGCCCGCUGUUGGCUCAAUCUAGUGGGCUAACUAGUGGUCGGAACAAUAGCUGUAACAGUUUUAGAUCUUUCACUCAGUCCGGCCUCAUCACCUUCAUCGGAGGACCAAGAAAUGUGAACAGAGGGCGGGUUUGCAACUCUCUGACCGUUGGUUCCGCUCAUUUUCAGGCAGUGAAGGCAAAAGUUACCAAAAAAAGAUCAAAACUAUUACCUGAGCAUAAAUCAGUGCCGAAAAAGCUAGGAAAUUGAGAGAGAGUCAUCAAAAGACUUAAGGGGAAUUGAGAAAGCAAAAGUGAAAAAU